UUUUCACAAUCGAGUCCAUUCGGAUUCAAACUCUUGACCUAAUAGCCCUGAAACCACUCGAGUGCCAUGAAUUGGUUGAUUUGGUUUGUUGUUAAGGAUGUUUUGGCUUGAGUUUGUACUGUUGUGGUCAUUUUCGUCGACUUUUUCUUAUCAAUAAAAUCUGCUUGCUUAAUAAAAUUUUCCUUUUUUUUUUUUGGCGAAAAUCAAA
rnacentral:misc_RNA from 1 species